ensembl:lncRNA
GCUCUUUCUAUUUCAUAAAGAAUUCUCACAUGCCAGAGCUGCUGGAAGGUAGCAGGGUCUAAGUAGAGAUUCCACCAAAGGAGUCAUCAGCCUUGCUGGUCCUGUCUGCAACUUGCCUUGAUUGUCCUCUGAGAGGAAGCCUCCCAUGUGCGGAGCCAUAUGCUCUACUGCUUCUCAUGUGGUGAAGACUCCUCUGGGAGCAGUUUUGCUCCCGUCUCUCAACAUUUCCUUCAUGGCUCCAAGAUUAAAAGACCAUAUUCCAUUG